CCUACGGGAGGCAGCAGUGGGGGAUAUUGCUCAAUGGCGGAAACCCUGAUGCAGCGAAGCCGCGUGAGUGAAGGAGGAUCUAGGGAUGUUAAGCUCCAUCUGUAGGGGAGUAAAUGACUGUACCUGUCCAAGUAGCCCCGGCUAACUACGUGCCAGCAGCCGCGGUAAUACGGAGGGUGCAGGCGUUAUACGGAUUUAUUGGGCGUAAAGGGGGCGUAGGGGGUUGUGUAAGUCGGUGGUGAAAGUCUGGGGCUCAACCUUAGAAUUGCAUUUGAAACCGGGAAACUUGAGUGCAGAUGGGGUAGGCGGAACGCGUGGUGUAGCGGUGAAAUGCGUAGAUAUCAGGAAGAACACCAGUGGCGAAGGCAGCUUACUGGUCUGUAACUGACGCUGAGGCUCGAAAGCGUGGGGAUCGAACAGGAUUAGAUACCCGAGUAGUC
rnacentral:rRNA from 1 species